rnacentral:rRNA from 1 species
AGCAUAAUCACUUGUUUCUUUAUUGGAAACUGGAAUGAAAGGAUCGACGAAGAAUAAUCUUUUUUUCUGAUAUAUUAAAUUGACAUAAAAGUCAAAAGGCUUUUAUAAACCAGGGGGACGAUAAGACCCUAUAAAACUUUACUUUUAUCGCGAAAUACCAAGAUUAAGGCCGCUUAAAAAGUUAAACUGGGGCGGUUAGCAUACAAACUAUUUUAGCUGAAAUAUAAAAAAUAGAUUUAAAUAACUCUUUAAGAAUUUAAACAAGUUACUUUAGGGAUAACAGCAUAAUCUCCCGAGAGAGCCCGCAUCGGCCGGGGAGUUUAUGACCUCGAUGUUGAAUUGAAAUUACUUCUAUAAGUAGAAAUAUAAGAAGUCAGUCUGUUCGACUGUUAAUGUUUC